UCCCUGGUGGCUCAGUGGUAAAGAAUCUGCCUGCAAUGCAGGAGAUGCAGGUUCAAUCCCUGAGUUGGGAA
rnacentral:tRNA from 1 species